GACGGAGGGGGCUAGCGUUGUUCGGAAUUACUGGGCGUAAAGAGCGUGUAGGCGGCUCGAUAAGUCUGCUGUGAAAGUCCAGGGCUCAACCCUGGAAGGCCGGUGGAAACUGUCGGGCUAGAGUCCGGAAGAGGCGAGUGGAAUUCCCGGUGUAGCGGUGAAAUGCGCAGAUAUCGGGAGGAACACCAAUGGCGAAGGCAGCUCGCUGGGACGGUACUGACGCUGAGACGCGAAAGCGUGGGGAGCAAACAGG
rnacentral:rRNA from 1 species